rnacentral:tRNA from 1 species
GCGCCGGUGGUGUAAGGCGAACAUCGCUGCCCGGAAAGCAGAAGCUGCGGGUUCGAGUCCCGCCUGGCGCA